UGAGAUGGUGAGUUUGUGAAAUUUGUGAUUGUUUCAAUUAGAUUUGGUUAUUAGUUUUAGGUUGAAGGAAGGGUGGUUAGAUGAUGGAAGCUUCAAUGUUUGUUGGUUGUGGAGAGAAUAGGAAAUGAUGAUGGCGAGAGUGAGUUUAAGAUGAUGGUUGACUAGAAGGUUAGAGGUGUGUAUUGCUGAGAGUGAGAGAAGGUCCAAUAAAAAUUUAUUGAAUUUUUUAGAUUUAAUAUCAAAUUUAUAAAAUGUGUAAACAUUGAAAGGCUAAAUUUAUUAUUAGGCUAAUAAAAAAAAG
rnacentral:lncRNA from 1 species